rnacentral:rRNA from 1 species
GACGAACGCUGGCGGCGUGCUUAACACAUGCAAGUCGAACGGAAAGGCCCUGCUUUUGUGGGGUGCUCGAGUGGCGAACGGGUGAGUAACACGUGAGUAACCUGCCCUUGACUUUGGGAUAACUUCAGGAAACUGGGGCUAAUACCGGAUAGGAGCUCCUGCUGCAUGGUGGGGGGUGGAAAGUUUCGGCGGUUGGGGAUGGACUCGCGGCUUAUCAGCUUGUUGGUGGGGUAGUGGCUUACCAAGGCUUGGACGGGUAGCCGGCCGGAGAGGGUGACCGGCCACAUUGGGACUGCGAUACGGCCCAGACUCCUACGGGAGGCAGCAGUGGGGAAUAUUGCACAAUGGGAGGAAGCCUGAUGCAGAAACGCCGCGUGCGGGAUGACGGCCUUCGGGUUGUAAACCGCUUUCGCCUGUGACGAAGCGUGAGUGACGGUAAUGGGUAAAGAAGCACCGGCUAACUACGUG